rnacentral:rRNA from 1 species
UACAGAGGGUGCGAGCGUUAAUCGGAGUUACUGGGCGUAAAGGGCGCGUAGGCGGUUUGUUAAGUGAUAUGUGAAAUCCCUGGGCUUAACCUAGGAACUGCAUGUCAUACUGGCGAGCUAGAGUAUUGUAGAGGGUAGUGGAAUUUCCGGUGUAGCGGUGAAAUGCGUAGAGAUCGGAAGGAACACCAGUGGCGAAGGCGGCUACCUGGACAAAUACUGACGCUGAGGCGCGAAAGCGUGGGGAGCAAACAGG